rnacentral:tRNA from 1 species
GGGGGAUUAGCUCAAGCGGUAGAGCGCUCGCUUUGCAUGCGAGAGGUACCGGGAUCGAUACCCGGGUCUUCCA